rnacentral:rRNA from 1 species
AUUGAACGCUGGCGGCAGGCCUAACACAUGCAAGUCGAGCGGAUGAAGGGAGCUUGCUCCUGGAUUCAGCGGCGGACGGGUGAGUAAUGCCUAGGAAUCUGCCUGGUAGUGGGGGAUAACGUCCGGAAACGGGCGCUAAUACCGCAUACGUCCUGAGGGAGAAAGUGGGGGAUCUUCGGACCUCACGCUAUCAGAUGAGCCUAGGUCGGAUUAGCUAGUUGGUGGGGUAAAGGCCUACCAAGGCGUCGAUCCGUAACUGGUCUGAGAGGAUGAUCAGUCACACUGGAACUGAGACACGGUGCAGACUCCUACGGGAGGCAGCAGUGGGGAAUAUUGGACAAUGGGCGAAAGCCUGAUCCAGCCAUGCCGCGUGUGUGAAGAAGGUCUUCGGAUUGUAAAGCACUUUAAGUUGGGAGGAAGGGCAGUAAGUUAAUACCUUGCUGUUUUGACGUUACCAACAGAAUAAGCACCGGCUAACUUCGUG